AUUGUUUAUGAUCUGACCCUCAUAGCCUUUAUCAGUUGUUCCAAUUCCUCUAAACACAGCAUGGGCGUGGCCCCUAGAAAUCUACACCUCCCUAAUCCUAAAUCACUCUUAUGCUACCCUAAACUACUUAACCCUAUGAGGAUACCCUAAACCAAAAGCUUCCCUAUCUGACUCUAUUAGUGGCACACCUUUGUUGUUGAUUUGUUUUGUUUUUUG